AAACCUCAUUUUCACAAUUUAGCCCAAAUUACUCAAAUUCAUUAAAAAUUCAAAUACAAAACAUAUUAAUCUAACACAUGUCUUUCAUUUUUCAUCACUUGACAUCACACAGCUCACAGUUUCAUCAAUGGCUCAACUCAAAAUCUUCAUCAAUUUCUUAAAUUCAAACAUAGGUUAGCUAGAGUACUAAGCAACAAUCACAAAA
rnacentral:lncRNA from 1 species